AUUGAACGCUGGCGGCAGGCCUAACACAUGCAAGUCGAACGAGUGGCGGACGGGUGAGUAAUGUCUGGGAAACUGCCUGAUGGAGGGGGAUAACUACUGGAACCGGUAGCUAAUACCGCAUACCAUCAGAUGUGCCCAGAUGGGAUUAGCUAGUGGGUGGGGUAACGGCUCACCAAGGCGACGCUCCCUAGUAGGCCUGAGAGGCUGACCAGCCACACUGGAACUGAGACACGGUCCAGACUCCAAGGGAAGGCAGCAGUGGGGAAUUUUGCACAAUGGACGCAAGCCUGAUGCAGCCAUGCCGCGUGUAUGAAGAAGGCCUUCGGGUUGUAAAGUACUUUCAGCGGGGAGGCGUUACCCGCAGAAGAAGCACCGGCUAACUCCGUGCCAGCAGCCGCGGUAAUAC
rnacentral:rRNA from 1 species